AAUGAACGCUGGCGGUAGGCCUAACACAUGCGAGUCGAACGGCAGCACAGUAAGAGCUUGCUCUUACGGGUGGCGAGUGGCGGACGGGUGAGGAAUACAUCGGAAUCUACUUUUUCGUGGGGGAUAACGUAGGGAAACUUACGCUAAUACCGCAUACGACCUACGGGUGAAAGCAGGGGAUCUUCGGACCUUGCGCGAUUGAUUGAGCCGAUGUCGGAUUAGCUAGUUGGCGGGGUAAAGGCCCACCAAGGCGACGAUCCGUAGCUGGUCUGAGAGGAUGAUCAGCCACACUGGAACUGAGACACGGUCCAGACUCCUACGGGAGGCAGCAGUGGGGAAUCUUCGGCAAUGGGCGCAAGCCUGAUCCAGCCAUACCGCGUGGGUGAAGAAGGCCUUCGGGUUGUAAAGCCCUUUUGUUGGGAAAGAAAAGCAGCAGGUUAAUCCCCCGCUGUUCUGACGGUACCCAAACAAUAAGCACCGGCUAACUUCGUG
rnacentral:rRNA from 1 species